GACGAACGCUGGCGGCGUGCUUAACACAUGCAAGUCGAACGGAAAGGCCCUGCUUUUGUGGGGUGCUCGAGUGGCGAACGGGUGAGUAACACGUGAGUAACCUGCCCUUGACUUUGGGAUAACUUCAGGAAACUGGGGCUAAUACCGGAUAGGAGCUCCUGCUGCAUGGUGGGGGUUGGAAAGUUUCGGCGGUUGGGGAUGGACUCGCGGCCUAUCAGCUUGUUGGUGGGGUAGUGGCUUACCAAGGCUUUGACGGGUAGCCGGCCUGAGAGGGUCACCGGCCACAUUGGGACUGAGAUACGGCCCAGACUCCUACGGGAGGCAGCAGUGGGGAAUAUUGCACAAUGGGCGGAAGCCUGAUGCAGCAACGCCGCGUGCGGGAUGACGGCCUUCGGGUUGUAAACCGCUUUCGCCUGUGACGAAGCGUGAGUGACGGUAAUGGGUAAAGAAGCACCGGCUAACUACGUG
rnacentral:rRNA from 1 species